UCUCUGGUAGUAUAUCGGAUAGUACACCCGCCUGUCAUGUGCGAUACGGUGUAAGACCGCGGGAGAGCGGGGUUCGACUCCCCGCCAGAGAG